GUUCUGCACUGAGGCCCUCGUCAUGGUGGCGCCUGUGUGGUACUUGGUAGCGGCGGCUCUGCUAGUCGGCUUUAUCCUCUUCCUGACUCGCAGCCGGGGCCGGGCGGCAUCAGCCGGCCAAGAGCCACUGCACAAUGAGGAGCUGGCAGGAGCAGGCCGGGUGGCCCAGCCUGGGCCCCUGGAGCCUGAGGAGCCGAGAGCUGGAGGCAGGCCUCGGCGCCGGAGGGACCUGGGCAGCCGCCUACAGGCCCAGCGUCGAGCCCAGCGGGUGGCCUGGGCAGAAGCAGAUGAGAACGAGGAGGAAGCUGUCAUCCUAGCCCAGGAGGAGGAAGGUGUCGAGAAGCCAGCGGAAACUCACCUGUCGGGGAAAAUUGGAGCUAAGAAACUGCGGAAGCUGGAGGAGAAACAAGCGCGAAAGGCCCAGCGUGAGGCAAGAGGCUGAACGUGAGGAGCGGAAACGACUCGAGUCCCAGCGCGAAGCUGAGUGGAAGAAGGAGGAGGAGCGGCUUCGCCUGGAGGAGGAGCAGAAGGAGGAGGAGGAGAGGAAGGCCCGCGAGGAGCAGGCCCAGCGGGAGCAUGAGGAGUACCUGAAACUGAAGGAGGCCUUUGUGGUGGAGGAGGAAGGCGUAGGAGAGACCAUGACUGAGGAACAGUCCCAGAGCUUCCUGACAGAGUUCAUCAACUACAUCAAGCAGUCCAAGGUUGUGCUCUUGGAAGACCUGGCUUCCCAGGUGGGCCUACGCACUCAGGACACCAUAAAUCGCAUCCAGGACCUGCUGGCUGAGGGGACUAUAACAGGUGUGAUUGACGACCGGGGCAAGUUCAUCUACAUAACCCCAGAGGAACUGGCCGCCGUGGCCAACUUCAUCCGACAGCGGGGCCGGGUGUCCAUCGCCGAGCUUGCCCAAGCCAGCAACUCCCUCAUCGCCUGGGGCCGGGAGUCCCCUGCCCAAGCCCCAGCCUGACCCCAGUCCUUCCCUCUUGGACUCAGAGUUGGUGUGGCCUACCUGGCUAUACAUCUUCAUCCCUCCCCACCAUCCUGGGGAAGUGAUGGUGUGGCCAGGCAGUUAUAGAUUAAAGGCCUGUGAGUACUGC
rnacentral:lncRNA from 1 species